CCACGUAUACCCAACCUCCUCUUGACAACUCAGCAUGUGUACUGCCGUUGCAAGCAUACCUCUAAAAGAACAAGUGUGCCAUUAUGACUAAUAGUAAAACUCAUAUACAUCAGGUCAAAGUGCAGCUAAUAAGAAGGUGAUGAUGGGUUACAACCCCAAAAAAGACUAUCAACUAAGAAAUUAAAAAUCUUACGAAAGUGGACUUGGCCGUAAUCAAUUUACAAGUUAAAAAAAUGAAUAAUCACCUAAGACAUGCACACAUCGCCCGUCACUCUACCCUAAAGGGUAGAUAAGUCGUAACAAAGUAGGUGUAAUGGAAAUUGCACCUGUCGAAGUAUAGCAUAUAUAAUGCUUUUUACUUACACUAAAAACAAAGUUAAAUAACUUACUUCGCCCACAUAAUAAAAUCUUACAAAUUAACAAAUAAUAGAAACAACUAAAUAAAUUAAAUAGACAAUAAAGUACAGAAAUGGAAAAUAUAAUAAAUAAAAGUAAAUUUUAACAACUGUACCUUGUGCAUUAUGGUUUUACAAGAAAAUAGUUAAAGACAACAAUCCCGAAUUCUAAGUGAGAUGUUAAACUGCUGUUAUGAACCCACUAAUAUCUGUGGAACAAGAUUUAAAAGACAGUUUAACAGAGGCUACAUACCAUCCGCAUAAGAAUAUAGCUGGUUUUCAACAAACAUUAUACAUUAAAACAUAUAAUAGUAUUAUAGUGUAAAAUUAUUGAGGAUAAGCCCAAUAAUUUUAGCAAUGGAAGAAUCAAAUCACUUUACGACCAUAGGCCCAAAAUCAGCCAAUUAAAGUACUUUAUCGUAAUAUACAGUGAUAAAAUAUAUAAAUAUACACAUGCUAAAUAAAGUUGAAAUAGUGGACUAACCACCACGCCCACUUAUACUAUGUAAAAAUAAGUAUUAUAAAUAUAUGACAACAAUAAACUAGUAAUCUUCAACACAUAAACAAUAAUAAUUAAUUAAGGAACUCGGCAAAACAUUAUUUCGACUGUUUAACAAAAACAUUGUCUCAUGUAUAAUAUAUGAGAUAAUA
rnacentral:rRNA from 1 species